UCCGAUAGUAUUUUUGGAAGCACUUCAAGCCACUGAAGUUUUGAUAAGAUCCGGGUAGAAUAUGGAGUUUUGAGUUAGUGGAAAGCAUUGAUUUACGUAAUGUGUUGCCGAUUAAGUCAAAUGUAGCUGAAACGCUUGAUUCGCUCAAUCCGUAUCAUGACGUAAGGGGACAACUGCUCUGUGAUAAAGCGAUCAAGACGCUUCAAUCUAAUAUGAUUAGCAGGGCAGUAUUGGACGAAUGGAAUCUUGGACUUAAGAUGGAGCGUAUAUUCAGUGACAGUCUAGAUAAGACACUGCAAACAACUUUUCAAAUUACGCUUUUGGUGGCUUUUCAGUUAAUCUGACAGUGCCGACGCGGGGUUUUAGUUAGACAAUCUCAGAAAGUUUGGAGGGACACCACACUAACUACACAGUGAAUGUGUAUUGGGUAAAAUUCAUCCAAUGAUUUUCUGGAUUUCCGCGUCAUAAGAAAUUAAUUCGACUAGUACACAAAGUAUCUCCACUAUUGUCUUUUGGUAUUAUAUUAUAACUUUUUCGUUUAUCUCAACUUUAAAGUUUCAAAAAGUUAUAUUCUAUUGGUGGCCAUGAAAACAUUUCGAUUUGUAGUUUUAUAUUGGACUCCCUUUUUUUGCUUUGAAAUAAUAUUUAAAAAAUGUAAUGCUCUUUGAACGCUCCACAAACUUCCCUUUAUAGAAUGGAUUUUGUCACAAGCGCAAUUUCUCUGGGGUCUCCAUUAAAUAUUUUUUUUUUAUAGAAAUAAUGGUGUCUACUUCACUUUAAAUUGUUAAUGGGGCGGAGCAAGCCGAACUCAUACUCAUCUAACACUACAUAUUAACCCUUACUUUGGAUUUCGUGACGAAGUCGCUCUUCUAUCUACUUGAGCAUUCUAGGUAUAAGCAUCCUCAUCGAUUGCAAUAUGUUAAAAAUUAGCUUAAGAAAUGUAAAGAUGUGCACUAUAAUCUGAGGACUUAUCCAUAUUUAGGCAUCUACAAUAAAAUCCUCUUUGUGAUUUUUCUGGAACAGUGAAUCUAAAAGUAACAAAACUGAAAAACAAAAUAAAACUUUAUUAACCAAAA